GACGUAGGUGGCGAACGUUAUCCGGAAUUAUUGGGCGUAAAGGGCGCGUAGGUGGCCUGACAAGUUAUCAGUGGCAAAUCGAGGCUCAACCUCGUGGAAACUGGUAAUACUGUCCGGCUUGAGUGCAGGAGAGGUUAACGGAACUCUAUGUGGAGGGGUAAAAUCCAUAGAUAUAUAGAUGAACAUCAAUAAAGGCGAAGGCAGUUAACUAUUCUGUUACUGACACUGAGGCACGAAAGCGUGGGGAGCAAAACGG
rnacentral:rRNA from 1 species